rnacentral:rRNA from 1 species
UACAGAGACUGCAAGCGUUAUUCGGAUUCACUGGGCGUAAAGGGUGCGUAGGCGGCGCGGUAAGUCGGGUGUGAAAUCUUGGAGCUUAACUCCGAAACUGCAUUCGAUACUGCCGUGCUUGAGGACUGGAGAGGAGACUGGAAUUUACGGUGUAGCGGUGAAAUGCGUAGAUAUCGUAAGGAAGACCAGUGGCGAAGGCGGGUCUCUGGACAGUUCCUGACGCUGAGGCACGAAGGCCAGGGGAGCAAACGGG